rnacentral:rRNA from 1 species
CCUACGGGAGGCAGCAGUAGGGAAUAUUGCUCAAUGGGGGAAACCCUGAAGCAGCCACGCCGCGUGGGGGAUGAAGGUCUUCGGAGUGUUAAAUCCUUUUGGUAGAGAAGAAAAUGACGGUAUCUAACGAAUAAGCAACGGCACAGGCCGUUCCAGCAUCCGCCGUCACACGGCGGGUGCAAGCGGUACUCGGAAUCACUUGGGGUAAAGAGCGAGUAGGCGGGAUUGCAAGGCAGAUGGGAAAUUCUCUGGCUUAACCAUAGAACUGCAUUUGAAACUGUUAUUCUAGAGUUUGCGAGAGGUAGGUGGAAUUCUUGGUGUAGCGGUGAAAUGCGUAGAGAUCAAGCAGAAUACUCAUUGCGAAGGCGACCUGCUAGAACAUAACUGACGCUGAUGCGCGAAAGCGUGGGGAUCGAACAGGAUUAGAUACCCUAGUAGUC